AAAAAUACUUCUUCUCCAAAUCCGACCAUUCGUUCAUCGGUUUAGAGGGAAGUUGAAAGCCGUUUUCAACGAUAUUCCAUAAAUCCAAAUUCAUAGAAAUCAAGAAAACUCUCAUUCGAGUUUUCCAAUAAGUGUAGUCCAAUCCGUUAAACAACGGUGGACGAAAAACCGAAAAGCCCUCUUGAAAGCUAUGAAGAGCCAUUUCUCUCGGGUGUAAAUCCGAAAUGAG
rnacentral:lncRNA from 1 species